GACCUAGUAGUGGAUGGCCCGCACCUGCAUUCAGUGACAAGUAUUUGGAAAUCUCUGCUGCAGGAACCCCUGGUUCGACUCCAGGCUAGGUCA